rnacentral:tRNA from 1 species
GCCCCGGUAGCUCAGUUGGAUAGAGCAGCGGACUUCUAAUCCGCAGGUCGCAGGUUCGAAUCCUGCCCGGGGCG